rnacentral:rRNA from 1 species
UACAGAGGGGGCAAGCGUUGUUCGGAAUUACUGGGCGUAAAGGGCGCGUAGGCGGCCUGUUAAGUCGAACGUGAAAUCCCCGGGCUCAACCCGGGAACUGCGUCCGAUACUGGCAGGCUUGAAUUCGGGAGAGGGAUGUGGAAUUCCAGGUGUAGCGGUGAAAUGCGUAGAUAUCUGGAGGAACACCGGUGGCGAAGGCGGCAUCCUGGACCGAUAUUGGACGCUGAUGCGCGAAAGCCAGGGGAGCAAACGGG